rnacentral:rRNA from 1 species
AGCGAACGCUGGCGGCAGGCUUAACACAUGCAAGUCGAGCGGGCACUUUCGGGUGUCAGCGGCGGACGGGUGAGUAACGCGUGGGAACGUGCCCUCUGGUUCGGAAUAACUCAGGGAAACUUGAGCUAAUACCGGAUACGCCCUUUUGGGGAAAGGCUUGCUGCCGGAGGAUCGGCCCGCGUCUGAUUAGCUAGUUGGUGAGGUAACGGCUCACCAAGGCGACGAUCAGUAGCUGGUCUGAGAGGAUGAUCGGCCACACUGGGACUGAGACACGGCCCAGACUCCUACGGGAGGCAGCAGUGGGGAAUAUUGGACAAUGGGCGCAAGCCUGAUCCAGCCAUGCCGCGUGAGUGAUCAAGGCCUUAGGGUUGUAAAGCUCUUUUAUCCGGGACGAUAAUGACGGUACCGGAGGAAUAAGCCCCGGCUAACUUCGUG